rnacentral:rRNA from 1 species
AACGAACGCUGGCGGCAUGCCUAACACAUGCAAGUCGAACGAGACCUUCGGGUCUAGUGGCGCACGGGUGCGUAACGCGUGGGAACCUGCCCUUAGGUUCGGAAUAACUCCCCGAAAGGGGUGCUAAUACCGGUUAAUGUCUUCGGACCAAAGAUUUAUCGCCUUUGGAUGGGCCCGCGUUGGAUUAGCUAGUUGGUAGGGUAAAAGCCUACCAAGGCGACGAUCCAUAGCUGGUCUGAGAGGAUGAUCAGCCACACUGGGAAUGAGACACGGCCCAGACUCCUACGGGAGGCAGCAGUGGGGAAUAUUGGACAAUGGGCGAAAGCCUGAUCCAGCAAUGCCGCGUGAGUGAUGAAGGCCUUAGGGUUGUAAAGCUCUUUUACCCGGGAUGAUAAUGACAGUACCGGGAGAAUAAGCACCGGCUAACUCCGUG